AUCACUUCUCAGCCUUUUGGCUAAGAUCAAGUAUAGUACCUUACUCAAACAAGGUAAUUUAAUGAAAUUUAGUUAUUCAAUGUUUGAUAAUAAGAACAGAAUUUUCCUCAUCUACAACGGCUAAUGAAACUUUCAAAUCCUC
rnacentral:snRNA from 1 species